GAUGAACGCUAGCGGCAGGCUUAAUACAUGCAAGUCGUGGGGCAGCAUGAGUAGCAAUACUUGAUGGCGACCGGCAAACGGGUGCGGAACACGUACACAACCUUCCGAUAAGUGGGGAAUAGCCCAGAGAAAUUUGGAUUAAUACCCCGUAACAUAUAGAGUAGGCAUCUUCUUUAUAUUAUAGCUUCGGCGCUUAUUGAUGGGUGUGCGUCUGAUUAGGUAGUUGGCGGGGUAACGGCCCACCAAGCCUACGAUCAGUAGCUGAUGUGAGAGCAUGAUCAGCCACACGGGCACUGAGACACGGGCCCG
rnacentral:rRNA from 1 species